rnacentral:rRNA from 1 species
AGAGUUUGAUCAUGGCUCAGAUUGAACGCUGGCGGCAGGCUUAACACAUGCAAGUCGAGCGGUAACAGGGGAAGCUUGCUUCUCGCUGACGAGCGGCGGACGGGUGAGUAAUACUUAGGAAUCUACCUAGUAGUGGGGGAUAGCUCGGGGAAACUCGAAUUAAUACCGCAUACGACCUACGGGAGAAAGGGGGCAACUUGUUGCUCUCGCUAUUAGAUGAGCCUAAGUCGGAUUAGCUAGAUGGUGGGGUAAAGGCCUACCAUGGCGACGAUCUGUAGCUGGUCUGAGAGGAUGAUCAGCCACACCGGGACUGAGACACGGCCCGGACUCCUACGGGAGGCAGCAGUGGGGAAUAUUGGACAAUGGGGGCAACCCUGAUCCAGCCAUGCCGCGUGUGUGAAGAAGGCCUUUUGGUUGUAAAGCACUUUAAGCAGUGAAGAAGACUCCAUGGUUAAUACCCAUGGACGAUGACAUUAGCUGCAGAAUAAGCACCGGCUAACUCUGUGCCAGCAGCCGCGGUAAUACAGAGGGUGCAAGCGUUAAUCGGAAUUACUGGGCGUAAAGCGAGCGUAGGUGGCUUGAUAAGUCAGAUGUGAAAGCCCCGGGCUUAACCUGGGAACGGCAUCUGAUACUGUUA